rnacentral:rRNA from 1 species
UACGUAGGUGGCAAGCGUUGUUCGGAAUUAUUGGGCGUAAAGCGCGCGCAGGCGGUUUCUUAAGUCUGAUGUGAAAGCCCACGGCUCAACCGUGGAGGGUCAUUGGAAACUGGGGGACUUGAGUACAGAAGAGAAGAGUGGAAUUCCACGUGUAGCGGUGAAAUGCGUAGAGAUGUGGAGGAACACCAGUGGCGAAGGCGACUCUUUGGUCUGUAACUGACGCUGAGGCGCGAAAGCGUGGGGAGCAAACAGG